rnacentral:lncRNA from 1 species
CUGCUCUAGUAGUUCCCGGUGACUGUCGCAGCCUCUGUUGCCCUCUGACUUGCAGAUGCUGUGAGAUCCAGAGCUAAGACUCCACGACAUCCCGGAAGCCGAAAAAUGAAUCAGUCUCAGUGUUUCCUGUUUGGAUUGCCAUGAGGACAUCAACCCAGAGUGACUGUAGACCCUCUUCCCAGCACCUGAGAGUCUUUGAGACAUUUGAGGUUGUUGUGUGCAGACUGGGAUGGGAGUUGUUCCAGUUUUCACUUGGGUGAAAAAAAAGGAGAGCUGGAGACUGAUCAACCAAUUACUUUCAUUUCAUAUGGCGAUUAGAAAAACAGAUGAGGCAAUCAUAAUCUCUGCAAUCCAGGAACUGUGUCUGUGGCAAAUGAAUAAAUGGCUGAAUUUCA